rnacentral:rRNA from 1 species
UACGGGGGGGCGAAGCGUUGUUCGGAAUUACUGGGCGUAAAGGGCGCGUAGGCGGCCUCUAAGUCGGACGUGGAAAUCCCUCGGCUCAACCGAGGAACUGCGUCUGAUACUGGAAGGCUUGAAUCCGGGAGAGGGAUGUGGAAUUCCAGGUGUAGCGGUGAAAUGCGUAGAUAUCUGGAAGGAACACCAGUGGCGAAGGCGGCAUCCUGGACCGGCAUUGACGCUGAGGCGCGAAAGCUGAGGGGAGCAAACGGG